UCCCUGGUGGCUCAGUCGGUAAAGAAUCUGCCUGCAAUGCAGGAGACCUGGGUUCGAUCCCUGGAUUGGGAA
rnacentral:tRNA from 1 species